rnacentral:sRNA from 1 species
UUAUUGGAUGAAAAUAGUACAAGCAUAUAUGCUUCAAGCACUUUUGGAGAUUGAGACACAAUGUUUCCACAAGUCAUCACUCUUCUUCAAGUAUUCUGUUUCGUGGGCAAUUAACAUGGGUUUAUCUGCAAUAUACUUAAUAAGCGUAUCGUGACACAUUUUUCCUUCUUUGACGAGAUCGUUGCAACAAGGAUCAGGCAUGGUUCCAUUUUCAAAGACAGCAGCGACUAUAUCCAACGCACACUUAGGAGUGAUUUAACCAAGACAAGUAUUCCAUAAUAAGUUUGCUUCAGCUUCUUCGACUGAGAAAGCCGGAACAAACGCACACACCAAAGCUACAACAAUGAAUAACAUAGUAAUCUGAGAAUUAAAUUUAGACAUAUCUACUUAUGAUUGAAAUAUACAAGAAAUAUUUUUAUUUUACGAAACAAAUUGGAAGAAAAAAUGAUUUGUAUUUAUUAUUUGAAA